AAUCCUCAACCGCGCCGAUUGAUUUCGGUGGGGCUUGGACUUUGGAGCGUGCUGGCGAAGGUCGGCUCCUCUUUAAAUGCAUCAGCGGAAGAAACCUUUGUCUUUCCUGCCUUCGGUGUGAUAAUCGUGUUGCGCCGUGGUGGAACUUCAACGAUCCGCUUACAAUGGUCUUCGGACGAACUCUUAUAUCAA
rnacentral:misc_RNA from 1 species